CAUGGGCUUACUAUAGAUUGUGAGGCAAGUUAGUGAUGAAUUAAUGGAGUUGUGUACUGUGAACACAAUGAAUAAUACGUUAAUUCUACGCAGUUAUAUCUAGAGAUGUUGUGGUGGGUAAAAAAGCCCAACCCGACCUGAACCCAAAAUAAACCCGCCCACCAAAAACUCAACUUUAGAAAACUCAGAUGGGUUUUUGAUUAAGUGCGUAAAGCCCGAAAAAACUGAUUAUUCCGAGACUACCCGUGGGUACCCAACUUGGUUUUUAUCAUUUUUUUAGAGUUUAUUUUUAACUGUUAAUAUACUAUUAUAUGUAUGUUGUAUCUAUAUUUUGCUUAUUAAUA
rnacentral:sRNA from 1 species